rnacentral:rRNA from 1 species
UACGAAGGGGGCUAGCGUUGCUCGGAAUCACUGGGCGUAAAGCGCACGUAGGCGGGUCGUUAAGUCAGGGGUGAAAUCCUGGAGCUCAACUCCAGAAAUGCCCUUGAUACUGGCGAUCUCGAGUUCGGGAGAGGUGAGUGGAACUGCGAGUGUAGAGGUGAAAUUCGUAGAUAUUCGCAAGAACACCAGUGGCGAAGGCGGCUCACUGGCCCGAUACUGACGCUGAGGUGCGAAAGCGUGGGGAGCAAACAGG